AUUGAACGCUGGCGGAAUGCUUUACACAUGCAAGUCGAACGGCAGCAUAGAGAGCUUGCUCUCUGAUGGCGAGUGGCGAACGGGUGAGUAAUAUAUCGGAACGUGCCUAGUAAUGGGGAAUAACUAGCUGAAAGGUUAGCUAAUGCCGCAUACGACCUACGGGUGAAAGCAGGGGAUCUUCGGACCUUGCGUUAUUAGAGCGGCCGAUAUCUGAUUAGCUUGUUGGUGGGGUAAUGGCCUACCAAGGCGACGAUCAGUAGCUGGUCUGAGAGGACGAUCAGCCACACUGGAACUGAGACACGGUCCAGACUCCUACGGGAGGCAGCAGUGGGGAAUUUUGGACAAUGGGGGCAACCCUGAUCCAGCCAUUCCGCGUGAGUGAAGAAGGCCUUCGGGUUGUAAAGCUCUUUCGCAAGAGAAGAAAACUUGCUAUCUAAUAAAUAGUAAGUAUGACGGUAUCUUGACAAGAAGCACCGGCUAACUACGUGCCAGCAGCCGCGGUAAUACGUAGGGUGCAAGCGUUAAUCGGAAUUACUGGGCGUAAAGCGUGCGCAGGCAGUUUUAUAAGUCAGAUGUGAAAUCCCCGAGCUCAACUUGGGAACUGCGUUUGAAACUGUAAGACUAGAGUGUGUCAGAGGGGGGUAGAAUUCCAAGUGUAGCAGUGAAAUGCGUAGAGAUUUGGAGGAAUACCAAUGGCGAAAGGCAGCCCCCUGGGAUAACACU
rnacentral:rRNA from 1 species